CGUGCAGGCGGUUGGCUAAGUUGGGUGUGAAAGCUCCUGGCUCAACUGGGAGAGGUCGCUCAAGACUGGCCGACUGGAGAGCAGUAAGGGAAGGUGGAAUUCCGGGUGUAGUGGUGAAAUGCGUAGAUAUCCGGAGGAACACCAGUGGCGAAGGCGGCCUUCUGGACUGCUUCUGACGCUCAGACGCGAAAGCUAGGGGAGCAAACGGGAUUAGAGACCCCGGUAGUCCUAGCCGUAAACGAUGUGAACUUGGCGCUGGGUGGGUAAAACUAUUCAGUGCCGUAGCUAACGCGAUAAGUUCACCACCUGAGGACUACGGCCGCAAGGUUAAA
rnacentral:rRNA from 1 species